UAUCAAUAUAACCUAUCAAUAAUUACUUGUACCGAUUAAAGUGUUUAAAAUCAAACUAUAUCACCAAUAUAGAUAAAAACUAAACUUCCAAUAAACAACAAUAUUAUCUCAAAUAAUAUCAAUUCCGCCAAAAUAAUUUAUCUAACCUUAUCAAAUAUAAUAAUGCUUCUAAAAAGGGAAAAAGAAUAAACUAUUGCAGUGAUUAAUUCGGUUUUCCAACAUAGACCUUCAAUAUAAUCUUAAAGGCAAUUCUAUCCACUUCCAAGUGAUGAAUCGAAAUAUUUAUCAAAAAGUACAUUAGGAAUUCAUACACUAUUUAUAUCAUGUACUUAAAAGUUUGAUAGACUCUACAAUCUUCCUUAUUUUUUUCCUAGCUAGAGUAACUAAUAUGUCAUUAAUGAGAUAAAUUAACCCCUUAAUCACACCUACCAUCUCAUAACUAUCACUUAUUUUAUGUGCAUAUUCUCCUUGUAUCUUCAAUCUCCUCUUACACAAUGUUUAGAUAAUUAAACUUUCUUUAAAACUCUUGAAUCUGUUACUAUGAUAAUUCAAAUUUAUUUCUCUCGAAGGUUAAGACUGUUUCGAUAUCAAACAAUCAUCACAGUAAAAAGUGAACAAGAAGAUUGGUCACUAACAUGUUCUAGCCUAUUUCACCUACUCAUACCUCUCCUUUUUUUCAUUUCUCUUAUAUCAUAAUAUUUAUAAAAUUCAUCUUUUUAAUGAUAAACAACACAAAAACAAUUAUGUUUUUUGAGUACAUUGUCGCUCUCAUAGAAUUUUUCUAUACCUUAUUGCUAAUAUCUCUAGUAUUUUAUUCUAAAAGGAUAUAAACUUUUAUUUCAAGUCGAUUCAUAGCAGUUAGAAACUUGUCAUGGUACAACUGCAUCACAUAUAAGNNNNN
rnacentral:lncRNA from 1 species